GGUGUCAAUAUGGAGGGUGGUUUGGUGUCUAUGGAGGGUGGUUUGGUGUCUAUGGAGAGUAGUUUGGUGUCAAUGUGGAGGGUGGUUUGGUGUCAAUGUGGAGGGUGGUUUGGUGUCUAUGGAGGGUGGUUUGGUGUCAAUAUGGGGGGUGGUUUGGUGUCAAUGUGGAGGGUGGUUUGGUGUCAAUGUGGAGGGUGGUUUGGUGUCUAUGGAGGGUGGUUUGGUGUCUAUGGAGGGUGGUUUGGUGUCUAUGGAGGGUGGUUUGGUGUCUAUGGAGGGUGGUUUGGUGUCAAUGUGGAGGGUGGUUUGGCGUCAAUAUGGGGGGUGGUUUGGUGUCAAUGUGGAGGGUGGUUUGGUGUCUAUGGAGGGUGGUUUGGUGUCUAUGGAGGGUGGUUUGGUGUCUAUGGAGGGUGGUUUGGUGUCAAUGUGGAGGGUGGUUUGGUGUCUAUGGAGGGUGGUUUGGUGUCUAUGGAGGGUGGUUUGGUGUCAAUAUGGAGGGUGGUUUGGUGUCUAUGGAGGGUGGUUUGGUGUCUAUGGAGGGUGGUUUGGUGUCAAUGUGGAGGGUGGUUUGGUGUCAAUGUGGAGAGUAGUUUGGUGUCAAUGUGGAGGGUGGUUUGGUGUCAAUGUGGGGGUGGUUUGGUGUCAAUGUGGGGGGUGGUUUGGUGUCAAUGUGGAGGGUGGUUUGGUGUCAAU